GACGAAGGUGGCUAGCGUUAUUCGGAUUCACUGGGCCUAAAGCGCGCGUAGGCGGCUCUUCAAGUCGGAGGUGAAAGCCCGCAGCUUAACUGCGGAACUGCCCUCGAUACUGUCGAGCUUGAGUGCAGGAGGGGUGAUCGGAACUCCAGGUGUAGCGGUGAAAUGCGUAGAUAUCUGGAGGAACACCGGAGGCGAAGGCGGAUCACUGGACUGCCACUGACGCUGAGGCGCGAAAGCUAGGGGAGCAAACAGG
rnacentral:rRNA from 1 species